rnacentral:rRNA from 1 species
GUUGAACGCUGGCGGCAGGCCUAACACAUGCAGGUCGAGCGGAUGAGUGGAGCUUUGCUCCAUGAUUCAGCGGCGGACGGGUGAGUAAUGCCUAGGAAUCUGCCUGGUAGUGGGGGACAACGGUUUCGAAAGGAACGCUAAUACCGCAUACGUCCUACGGGAGAAAGUGGGGGGAUCUUCGGACCUCACGCUAUCAGAUGAGCCUAGGUCGGAUUAGCUAGUUGGUGAGGUAAAGGCUCACCAAGGCGACGAUCCGUAACUGGUCUGAGAGGAUGAUCAGUCACACUGGAACUGAGACACGGUCCAGACUCCUACGGGAGGCAGCAGUGGGGAAUAUUGGACAAUGGGCGAAAGCCUGAUCCAGCCAUGCCGCGUGUGUGAAGAAGGUCUUCGGAUUGUAAAGCACUUUAAGUUGGGAGGAAGGGCAGUAAGUUAAUACCUUGCUGUUUUGACGUUACCAACCGAAUAAGCACCGGCUAACUUCGUG